AGGGGCAGUUGAGAUAGGCUUCGGUCACAGGGGAAGCAAGAAAGAGAGAAGGGAGAGAGGUGAGUUGCAGGUUCAGCAAAGAGAAACAGAAGAGGAGGAGAAGAAGGAGAAGAAUAAGUAGUUGCAGGUCUAUGGAUUCAGCAGCAAGGAACAGAAGAGAAGGAGAAGAUGAGAAGAAGAAGAAGAAGAAGAAGAAGAAGAAGAAGAAGAAGAGAAAGGAGGUUCGGUGGGACUGGUUAGCAGUUACAGCAGCAAGGAAAUAGAAGAGA